AUACGGAGGUUGCAAGCGUUAAUCGGAAUUACUGGGCGUAAAGGGCGCGUAGGCGGUCUAUCAAGUCAGGUGUGAAAUCCCACGGCUCAACCGUGGAGGUGCAUCUGAAACUGAUAGACUUGAGUAUGGGAGAGGAAAGUGGAAUUCCCGGUGUAGAGGUGAAAUUCGUAGAUAUCGGGAGGAACACCAGUGGCGAAGGCGACUUUCUGGACCAAUACUGACGCUGAGGCGCGAAAGCGUGGGGAGCAAACAGGAUUAGAAACCCUUGUAGUCC
rnacentral:rRNA from 1 species